AAGACGAAAGGGCGAAGAUGGCAAAGAACGCGAAGGGGUCUCCCCUCACUCCUGUGUCUCCUUUUAUGGCCGAGGCGGAGUAAUGGGGCACGUUUCCCAUGAUAUCCGCCGAGUGGCUAGGGGGAUCAGCCCAUGAUAUGAGCAGUUAUGCUCAUCAAGACAUGCGCUCGGUUACCGCGCGGCGUGCGGUCGAGAAUCCCGCAAUACCCGGCGUAUAUUU
rnacentral:lncRNA from 1 species